rnacentral:lncRNA from 1 species
GCAAAAUUGGUCCUUGAGAGACGACCUAGGAGUCAUUCCUAGCUAUACUGCAUUUCUAAUAUGCAAUAAAAUUUGUAUGGGCCGCGACACCCAUCACCGUCGCACCUUACCAUCCUUGCCGUCGGCCACCUUGCAGCCACCACAGAUUCUUGUCGUUAAUCGCCUAGCCGUCGCUACCAUCAUCAUCACGCCACCACGC